CUACGGGUUGCUGCAGUGGGGAAUAUUGGACAAUGGGGGCAACCCUGAUCCAGCAAUGCCGCGUGUGUGAAGAAGGCCUGCGGGUUGUAAAGCACUUUCAGUGGGGAGGAAAGGCGCUCGGUGAAUAGCCGAGCGAGAUGACAUUACCCAUAGAAGAAGCACCGGCUAACUCCGUGCCAGCAGCCGCGGUAAUACGGAGGGUGCGAGCGUUAAUCGGAAUUACUGGGCGUAAAGCGCACGUAGGCGGUGAAUUAAGUCAGAUGUGAAAGCCCCGGGCUUAACUUGGGAAUGGCAUUUGAAACUGGUUGACUGGAGUGCAGUAGAGGGGAGUGGAAUUUCCGGUGUAGCGGUGAAAUGCGUAGAGAUCGGAAGGAACACCAGUGGCGAAGGCGACUCCCUGGACUGACACUGACGCUGAGGUGCGAAAGCGUGGGUAGCAAACAGGAUUAGAUACCCUGGUAGUC
rnacentral:rRNA from 1 species